rnacentral:rRNA from 1 species
UACGUAGGGGGCAAGCGUUGUCCGGAUUCAUUGGGCGUAAAGAGCGUGUAGGCGGCCAGGUAGGUCGGUUGUGAAAACUGGAGGCUCAACCUUCAGAGGUCGACCGAAACCAUCUGACUAGAGUCCGGGAGAGGAGAGUGGAAUUCCUGGUGUAGCGGUGAAAUGCGCAGAUAUCAGGAAGAACACCCGUGGCGAAAGCGGCUCUCUGGAACGGUACUGACGCUGAGACGCGAAAGCGUGGGGAGCGAACAGG